rnacentral:rRNA from 1 species
AUUGAACGCUGGCGGCAGGCCUAACACAUGCAAGUCGAACGGGAACAGGAAGAAGCUUGCUUCUUUGCUGACGAGUGGCGGACGGGUGAGUAAUGUCUGGGAAACUGACUGAUGGAGGGGGAUAACUACUGGAAACGGUAGCUAAUACCGCAUAACGUCGCAAGACCAAAGAGGGGGACCUUCGGGCCUCUUGCCAUCGGAUGUGCCAAGAUGGGAUUAGCCAGUAGGUGGGGUAACGGCUCACCUAGGCGACGAUCACUAGCUGGUCUGAGAGGAUGACCAGCCACACUGCAACUGAGUCACGGUCCAGACUCCUACGGGAGGCAGCAGUGGGGAAUAUUGCACAAUGGGCGCAAGCCUGAUGCAGCCAUGCCGCGUGUAUGAAGAAGGCCUUCGGGUUGUAAAGUACUUUCAGCGGGGAGGAAGGGAGUAAAGUUAAUACCUUUGCUCAUUGACGUUACCCGAAGAAGAAGCACCGGCUAACUCCGUG